rnacentral:rRNA from 1 species
CGAAAGAUGGUGAACUAUGCCUGGCCAGGAUGAAGCCAGAGGAAACUCUGGUGGAGGUCCGUAGCGAUUCUGACGUGCAAAUCGAUCGUCAGAGCUGGGUAUAGGGGCGAAAGACUAAUCGAACCAUCUAGUAGCUGGUUCCCUCCGAAGUUUCCCUCAGGAUAGCUGGUACUCAUUCGAAUGAAUGCCAUCCGGUAAAGCGAAUGAUUAGAGGCCUUGGGGACGAAACGUCCUCAACCUAUUCUCAAACUUUAAAUGGGUGGGAUGCCAAGCUUGCUUAAAAACGGAGUCAGCAAUGUCUCCGAGCUGAAGCUUUGGCGUUACAUCAGAGUACCUAGUGGGCCACUUUU